rnacentral:rRNA from 1 species
GACGAACGCUGGCGGCGUGCUUAACACAUGCAAGUCGAACGGAAAGGCCCUGCUUUUGUGGGGUGCUCGAGUGGCGAACGGGUGAGUAACACGUGAGUAACCUGCCCUUGACUUUGGGAUAACUUCAGGAAACUGGGGCUACUACCGGAUAGGAGCUCCUGCUGCAUGGUGGGGGUUGGACAGUUUCGGCAGAUGGGGAUGGACUCGCGGCUUAUCAGCUUGUUGGUGGGGUAGUGGCUUACCAAGGCUUUGACGGGUAGCCGGCCUGAGAGGGUGACCGGCCACAUUGGGACUGAGAUACGGCCCAGACUCCUACGGGAGGCAGCAGGGGGGAAUAUUGCACAAUGGGCGGAAGCCUGAUGCAGCAACGCCGCGUGCGGGAUGACGGCCUUCGGGUUGUAAACCGCUUUCGCCUGUGACGAAGCGUGAGUGACGGUAAUGGGUAAAGAAGCACCGGCUAACUACGUG